AUGGAGAACUACUCGAGGGACUUGCUGCACGGCGUCGGCGGAGGCGAUGACAGUGAGCACAAGGCGCAGCUCUUGGAUUCACGAGCCGAGGUGGCGGACCUUAGCCUCGGGCUGUUGGUCGGGGGCGGUUCAGGAUGGAGAGGACGAGCGGCGAGGGGCUCACCAGGUCCUCGUCGGUCGCGUGCAUCCAGGAAGUGGCACCAACUAUGGUGGAUGCGGAGGCGGGGAACAACACUGAUGUGCAGCCCUCGGCGGCCACGAAGCCGCAGGGCAAUGCUCUCGGCGACCCCACAAGGGAGUGGGAGUGGAUUCCCUUUGAACAACAUCAAGGAGGAGGAGGAGCCCAUGGCAAAGCUGCGGGCAAGCUUGUUCCCAUCCCAAGACUCGAGCCAGCUCAUGCAUGGCUCUCGUGCGCUGGGUGUGCAUACAUCUCACUGGUAA
rnacentral:rRNA from 1 species